rnacentral:lncRNA from 1 species
CCCCCCCGAAACUUUAGCUUUUUCGCACCACCCCAAACAAUCCAUCCUCAGCCUAGAGAAGAAGCCAUGACUCUGAAAGCAAACGGCCCUCCUCAUCUUUUCAACUCCACAACCUUUGAACACCCAUAAACAAACCGUCCGUUCCUGCUUCUUCAUCGGAUAGCCUUCUAAGAACAGGGCUGCUGAUCCCAUCUCUACGACAAAAAUCAGUGAAAAACAGACCCUACUUAUACACACAACAGCCGCUGGAAUUCAGGACCCCUCCCCCCGUUCAUCUUCCUCAACCAGCGAUAACUCCAAAAAUCAGACCCCCCAAAUAUCUGUUACCCCUUCUUCUUCACAAAAUUGAACACCCAAAACACCUCCUCCAUCGAAGCCACACACAUACUCAUAAAGGUGGAGAGGCAGAAAGAUUUUGAGUCGUCGAUUCCGGUUUGAAGUGUCGUUGGCAGCGAGGUUCUUAAUUUGAGUUCGUUGAAGGUUCUCGACAAGGAUUUUGUUUCGUGUCAAGUUCUCUUUUUGCUUUCGGACCAUCGCCUGAUUUCCUGUACUCAUGAGAAAUAUUCAUUACUGAAGGUGCAUCUCCUCUCUAUAUAGAAUGAUUUAACAAUAUCUUGGCUUUGUUUUUGUUUCUUUGGUUGAAUAUUUAUUUGGUUCUGAUUGUUUGUUCCUAUGUUCAACAAGUAUGCUAGUUUGAAUGAGAUUCUGUGGUUUGAGUGUUAUCAGUGAUUCUAAUUCAUUAUCUUCCAUUAUUGAGCUUAUAAUUGUAUAGUGUUGUUCCAAACAUGGACUUUAAAGUUAAAAGGUAUGCAUUCACUUCAAAAUCAGCUUCUGUAUUUCCGUACGCCUAUGAUUCAAUAUAUAUUUUCAUAGUCUUCUUGAGUAAACAGUUUAUGUGGAUUUUCAAGUGGUUACAUUCACAAUUCUUAAUUUAAUUAGCACUUUCAUGUCUUUGGUUUGUUUGGAUGACAAGAAUGGCUUAUUCUGCUGAAAAUAAAUUAUAUUUUUGUUCUACUAGAACUAUAUUGGGUUGGCUCAACGAGAGUUAAGAUAAAACUCUUAAAAAUUGAAAUUGGAUCGCAACUGUUUGCGUGUUUCUUUGGCUGUAUUGGGUCGCGAUGUGAUAUUAGAUGUGAAAAUCAGACCGUAAAUAUUUAAUUGUUUUGCUUUCAUCAUUUUUUUUAAACGUUAGGAGCAUAUUUAGGCCAAUCACCCAGGUGGAUGAACCUUUAGGCACAUUUUGAAUUUAUUAUUGUGAUUAUGUACCCGUUCGCGUGACAUAGCCACGGUUUCAAAAAUCAAAAUCGAGGUAUGUGUUCGUGCAACUUCGACCGAACUUUCUUAAUAAUAAUAAAGCGUGAUUAAUUGUGGACACGUACGCGUGACAUGAUUCUUGACAUGCCAAAUAAAAUGAUCGUUUUUAAGAUAAUCCCAUAAUUAAGAGUAAUUAAGCAAAUAUAAGCAUUUUAAAAAGGUAAAUGCACAUAGGUUCUAAAAAUAAGUAAUUAGACAACUUAAGCCAAGUAUAAAUUGCUAAGCGACCGUACUAGAACCACGGAACCCGAAAAUGCCUAAUACUUUCUCCCGGAUUAACAGAAUUCCUUAUCUAGAAUUUCUGGUUCACAGACUUUUAAAUAAAGUCGAAAAAUUUUCUCGAUUUGGAAUUUAAAAAUAAACCGGUGACUUGGGACAUCAAAAAUAAAUUAUUCCAAGUGGUGACUUUGAGAAAAUUAAAUAAAAUAACCUCAUUUCAAAUAAUGUCACUUUAAUUGGAAAAACUCCCUUAUACUCCCCUCGGGUGUUAAAAAAGGAGGUGUGACAACUCUAGCGACUCUACUGGGGAUAAGAACCUAGAAUCUCUGGUUUAGGGUUCAAGAAUUCGAGAUUUUUAAUGUGAUUUUUUAUUUGGCUUUAUUUAUUGUUGAUUACUGUAUUUUGUGGACCUAGUGUGCUAAUUCCUGUUUAUUUACCGCUUUGAUAUUACCUGAACUUUAUUAAACUGUCUCCCUACGCCUCCCUUCUGAGUAUUCUAUAAAAUGGUGCACACGUUCGCGUGACUCACUUUUUUUGUUAGAAGUUAUACCAAAUAGAACGAGGAUCGGCCAGCAACAAGGCCGAGUAGACUUUCGUGCUCCCGAUACGUUGCCCCCUCUUCGGCUCGAGUUGUUCGCUCGAGUAAGCCAGGUCUAGAACACAACCCCAUGUUUAAACUUAGUAUAAUGCAACCUCAUGCUGGAUCCUUAGUAGGAACGUUUGUUUGCAUCACGUGCAUUUGACCUUGGGGACUCAACACAGGGGUUGGGUCCGUCUAGGAUAGGUGUACCCAAAAUAACAGACCAUCCUAAUGCAUCCUAUUGUUUUUGAGAGCGCGAAGCGCAAAAAAGCGACAAAGGCUCGCCUCGCUUCAAAAGCGAAGCGCACGCUUUAUUAAAGUGAAGCGCAAUUCUUAAAAAACAUAAUGUAAAAUUAUAAAUAAUCAAAAACUUCAAUUUAAAUACUUAAAAGUAGGUACUAGGUACCACCAAAUCAUCCACAAACCAUCCACAAACCAUAUGACAAGUAAAAUUAAAGCUACUAAAUUACUAGAAUCAACAUCUUAUUCUUCUACUCUUCUUCUUCUUCAAGUUGUCAAAAUCUUGAAUUCCUCUAUUAUCUUCAUAUUGCUCGUCAUCUUCUUCUUCCCCCUCCUCUUCAUGAUCACUUUCAUCUUCAUUAAUUAGGGAUAGGGAUCGACUUGUAGUAGCCACACAUUUUCCCUUCCUAAUAGAGCUUGAACUUGGAGCAAAAGAAGCAGAAGAAGAAGCAGCAGAAGCAGAAGAAAAAUAAGA